UGGGGAAUAUUGGACAAUGGGCGCAAGCCUGAUCCAGCCAUGCCGCGUGAGUGAUGAAGGCCCUAGGGUUGUAAAGCUCUUUCACCGGUGACGAUAAUGACGGUAACCGGAGAAGAAGCCCCGGCUAACUUCGUGCCAGCAGCCGCGGUAAUACGAAGGGGGCUAGCGUUGUUCGGAUUUACUGGGCGUAAAGCGCACGUAGGCGGACUUUUAAGUCAGGGGUGAAAUCCCGGGGCUCAACCCCGGAACUGCCUUUGAUACUGGAAGUCUGGAUUAUGGUAGAGGUGAGUGGAAUUCCGAGUGGAGAGGUGAAAUUCGGAGAUAAUCGGAGGAACACCAGUGGCGAAGGCGGCUCACUGGACCAUUACUGACGCUGAGGUGCGAAAGCGUGGGGAGCAAACAGG
rnacentral:rRNA from 1 species